AGUGAACGCUGGCGGUAGGCCUAACACAUGCAAGUCGAACGGCAGCACAGUAAGAGCUUGCUCUUACGGGUGGCGAGUGGCGGACGGGUGAGGAAUACAUCGGAAUCUACUUUUUCGUGGGGGAUAACGUAGGGAAACUUACGCUAAUACCGCAUACGACCUACGGGUGAAAGCAGGGGAGCUUCGGACCUUGCGCGAUUGAAUGAGCCGAUGUCGGAUUAGCUAGUUGGCGGGGUAAAGGCCCACCAAGGCGACGAUCCGUAGCUGGUCUGAGAGGAUGAUCAGCCACACUGGAACUGAGACACGGUCCAGACUCCUACGGGAGGCAGCAGUGGGGAAUAUUGGACAAUGGGCGCAAGCCUGAUCCAGCCAUACCGCGUGGGUGAAGAAGGCCUUCGGGUUGUAAAGACCUUUUGUUGGGAAAGAAAAGCAGCAGGUUAAUACCCAGCUGUUCUGACGGUACCCAAAGAAUAAGCACCGGCUAACUUCGUG
rnacentral:rRNA from 1 species